rnacentral:misc_RNA from 1 species
AACGCACAUUGCACUCCUUGGUAUUCCGAGGAGUAUGCCUGUUUCAGUAUCAUGAGCACUCUCACACCUAACCUUUGGGUUAUGCUGUGGAAUUGGGAUGCGCCGAUUUUUACUAGUCGGCACUCCUAAAAUGUAGCUCUUGGCUGUUUCCUACUACAGCAGUUUGGCCUAAUAGUUUUGACUUUUGUCAAAUCUUUGGCUACAUUUGCUUCUGGAAAUCAGUCUUGAUAAUACAGAAAACUCAUUUCAAACUUUGAUCUGAAAUCAGGUAGGGCUACCCGCUGAACUUAA